rnacentral:rRNA from 1 species
AACGAACGCUGGCGGCAGGCUUAACACAUGCAAGUCGAGCGCGUAGCAAUACGAGCGGCAGACGGGUGAGUAACGCGUGGGGAUGUGCCUGGUGGUACGGAACAACUCAGGGAAACUUGAGCUAAUACCGUAUAAGCCCUUGGGGGGAAAGAUUUAUCGCCACCAGAUCAACCCGCGUUGGAUUAGCUAGUUGGUGAGGUAACGGCUCACCAAGGCGACGAUCCAUAGCUGGUCUGAGAGGAUGAUCAGCCACACUGGGACUGAGACACGGCCCAGACUCCUACGGGAGGCAGCAGUGGGGAAUAUUGGACAAUGGGCGCAAGCCUGAUCCAGCCAUGCCGCGUGAGUGAUGAAGGCCUUAGGGUUGUAAAGCUCUUUCACUGGGGAAGAUAAUGACGGUACCCAGAGAAGAAGCCCCGGCUAACUUCGUGCCAGCCGCCGCCGUAACAC